AUUGAACGCUGGCGGCAUGCCUUACACAUGCAAGUCGAACGGCAGCACGGGAGCAAUCCUGGUGGCGAGUGGCGAACGGGUGAGUAAUAUAUCGGAACGUGCCCAGUGAUGGGGGAUAGCCCGGCGAAAGCCGGAUUAAUACCGCAUACGACCUACGGGUGAAAGCAGGGGAUCGCAAGACCUUGCGUCAUUGGAGCGGCCGAUAUCAGAUUAGCUUGNGGUGGGGUAAAAGCCUACCAAGGCGACGAUCUGUAGCUGGUCUGAGAGGACGACCAGCCACACUGGGACUGAGACACGGCCCAGACUCCUACGGGAGGCAGCAGUGGGGAAUUUUGGACAAUGGGCGCAAGCCUGAUCCAGCCAUGCCGCGUGCGGG
rnacentral:rRNA from 1 species